rnacentral:rRNA from 1 species
UACAGAGGUGGCAAGCGUUGUUCGGAAUUACUGGGCGUAAAGGGCGCGUAGGCGGCCUUCUAAGUCAGACGUGAAAUCCCCCGGCUUAACCUGGGAACUGCGUCUGAUACUGGGAGGCUUGAGUAUGGGAGAGGGAUGUAGAAUUCCAGGUGUAGCGGUGAAAUGCGUAGAGAUCGGGAGGAACACCCGUGGCGAAGGCGGCCAACUGGGCCGGACCUGACGCUGAGGCGCGAAAGCGUGGGGAGCAAACAGG